UUAUCCUCAAACUUGAAUUUCUCUCUAUCGUUCUCUGGUUCUUUGGUUAUAGAAAAUCCCAAACACUAAAUCCCUACUCCAACUCUCUUCGAGUUUGAUGAGGAAGGAGUUCGACGAGGUGAAUUCCCUCUCUAUCUCUGUCUCUCACAUUUGCUUUCAAAUAUUUUCACUUAGAAAUCGAUUGGGUUUUCAAUUGGGUUUCUACUCCAGAAUGAGGUUGUUUUUGUAGUCUGCUGAUAGAUCCAAGGAAGACCUAGUUAGCCCGCCAUCACAUGAAGGCCGUCUCCCGCCGCCUCCGUCACUACGGUUCGUUCUUCACUCAAAACCAUACGUGUCUUUGAACUGUUUUCUUUGAUUUUUGGGCUGGGGCACGACGAUAUGCACUACGAUUUUGAUAUCAAGGAGGCUCUGAAUCGGCUACCCAGGUAGAUUUCGACGCCCACAACCAGCGUCUCAAGCAUGCCAUGGACCUCUUCAUGAAACACGAGUACCUCCCUGAAGAUCUUUAGGUACUGAAUUUGAUUAAGAGGGUGAACUGCAACUAAGGAAAUUUAUCCCCGGUCGAAAGAGAAAAUUUGGAUUGAUCGAUCUUUAUGUGCACAAUUAUCCGGUGAAGAAGAACAUCCACUUCACUGCUGCGAUUUUCAGGAGAGAGACUGAUGUGUAGUCUGAGACUCCUGUGGGAAAGGAGAGAGAUUGAACAACUGCCACAUCAACAACGUCAACAUCCAAGCGCCUGAAGAUCUACCAAGAGUGCCUACUGCAGUACCAUUACCAAUUACAUCUGGAUCAAGAAGAAUAGCGAAAACUAGCCUAGUGUAAAAGAACUUUUAUUACAGUACAACAGAAUGGCAUUUACAAUAAACAUCCAAGUGUAGUUCAUGAAUCCUGACUAAAAUUAUUUUGUUUUUUUUUUGUCAAACUAUUAUCCAAAAU